UACGUAGGGUGCAAGCGUUACUCGGAAUUACUGGGCGUAAAGCGUGCGCAGGCGGUUGUGCAAGUCAGAUGUGAAAUCCCCGGGCUUAACCUGGGAACUGCACUUGUGACUGCACGGCUAGAGUGUGUCAGAGGGGGGUAGAAUUCCACGUGUAGCAGUGAAAUGCGUAGAUAUGUGGAGGAAUACCGAUGGCGAAGGCAGCCCCCUGGGAUAACACUGACGCUCAUGCACGAAAGCGUGGGGAGCAAACAGG
rnacentral:rRNA from 1 species